rnacentral:miRNA from 1 species
AUAAAUGACCCAGUCUGUGGUGUUCUGUUACAGCAGCCUGAACUAAGGUAGUGUCACAGUCCAUUUUGUGCUGCUGUAGCAGAAUACCACAGACUGGGUC